AGGGGAAUAUUGCACUAUGGACGGAAGUUUGAUGCAGCGACGCCGCGUGGAGGGUGUAGGCCUUCGGGUUGUGAACUCCUUUUUCCCGCGAAAACGGCACAGUUUUGGCUGUGGUGAUGGUAGUGGGGGAAGAAGCGCCGGCUAACUACGUGCCAGCAGUCGCGGUAAUACGUAGGGCGCGAGCGUUUUCCGGAAUUAUUGGGCGUAAGGAGCUCGUAGGUGGUUCGUCGCGUCUGUCGUGAAAGCCAGCAGCUUAACUGUUGGUCUGCGGUGGUUACGGGCGGGCUUGAGAGCGGUAGGAGUGACUGGAAUUCCUGGUGUAGCGGUGGAAUGCGCAGAUAUCAGGAGGGACACCGAUGGCGAAGGGAGGGCACUGGGCCGAUACUGACACUGAGGAGCGAAAGAGUGGGGAGCGAGCAGG
rnacentral:rRNA from 1 species